GGCCUGCCAUCACCAUCUCCCGGGAACCAUCUUCCCUCCUUCACUUCCCAUCCAUUUUUACACUCCAACUUCAAAUUUAAUUUGUAUUCACUUUUCCAAUGAGUGACCAAGACCAACCUCCUCCUCCUCCUCCUCCUCCACCACCCCAACAACAUCCACCGCCACCACCACCCACUAAUGGCGAAGGCAAACCUCCUCCUAUACCCAGCCCACCACCACCACAACAAGGUGGUGCAGGCCGUUCUUGUUGCUUAUUCAUUUUCAUCUUCCUCCUCUUAGCAGGAGCCGCAGUACUCACCGUCUGGCUCAUCUACCGUCCCCACAAACCCCGUUUCGUCGUC
rnacentral:lncRNA from 1 species